rnacentral:rRNA from 1 species
UACGGGGGGAGCAAGCGUUGUUCGGAUUUACUGGGCGUAAAGGGCGCGUAGGCGGCCUGUGCAAGUCAGUUGUGAAAUCUCCGAGCUUAACUCGGAACGGUCAACUGAUACUGCUCGGCUAGAGUGCGGAAGGGGCAACUGGAAUUCUCGGUGUAGCGGUGAAAUGCGUAGAUAUCGAGAGGAACACCUGCGGCGAAGGCGGGUUGCUGGGCUGAUACUGACGCUGAGGCGCGAAAGCCAGGGGAGCGAACGGG